rnacentral:lncRNA from 1 species
AUAUCAAACUAUUUCAUGUUUAUGUUUCAAAAAAAUAUUUUUUUAUAAAAAAUAUAUAGAUUAAUUAAAAAAAUAAAAUAUAAAUUAAAGCUUGUAUAUAAUACAAUGAUUAGGAUGAUAAAACAUAUCAAUAUAUAAUAACAUGAUUGGCAUCAGAGAAUCAGAGACAUUAUACUAAAUGUUGUGGAACAUAGUUAAAGCCAGA